rnacentral:rRNA from 1 species
UGGGGAAUUUUGGACAAUGGGGGAAACCCUGAUCCAGCCAUGCCGCGUGGGUGAAGAAGGCCUUCGGGUUGUAAAGCCCUUUCGGUGGGGACGAAACGGUGCGUGCUAACACCACGCACUACUGACGGUACCCACAGAAGAAGCACCGGCUAACUACGUGCCAGCAGCCGCGGUAAUACGUAGGGUGCAGGCGUUAAUCGGAAUUACUGGGCGUAAAGCGUGCGCAGGCGGUUUGCUAAGACAGGUGUGAAAUCCCCGAGCUUAACUUGGGAACUGCGCUUGUAACUGGCAAGCUAGAGUGUGGCAGAGGGGGGUGGAAUUCCACGUGUAGCAGUGAAAUGCGUAGAGAUGUGGAGGAACACCGAUGGCGAAGGCAGCCCCCUGGGCUAACACUGACGCUCAUGCACGAAAGCGUGGGGAGCAAACAUG